rnacentral:lncRNA from 1 species
UUCCUCCUUGCAAAGACGGCUGAUAAGAACACUAUAUGCGUAUACAUCGGGUGAAAUUCCACUGUUAAGCAUGCAAAUCAAGAAGCUCUUGGCUUUUUCAAACCUCCCCGAUUGGCACAAUGCAUAAAGUAGAGUGUUAUAGGUGACAACAUCUGGCCUGACUCCUUGAUCCACCAUUUCUUCAAACAGAGAGAGCACUUCUUCCCAGCGACUCAUGUUGCAUAACCCAUGAAUCAAAGUGGUAUAAGUGAUAAUACCCGGUACAACACUUUUGUAGAUCAUAUCUCUAAAUAGGGUCAAGGCCUCAUCUAUUUGUCUUUCCUUACACAGGCUAUCUAUGAUGGGAUUGUAGCAGUCUUGUUUGGGCUUGAACCUUCCAUCUUCCAACAUAUUCGUAAGUAUCUCGAGUGCCUUAGAAGUUUUCCCAGCCUUGCAUAGUCCAUUGAUCAUGGUAGCAUAAGUGAUUUCAUCGCAUUUGUAUCCCUUCUCUUCUAUUAACUUGAACAGCUCUAUUGCCUCGGCCCAGGAACCGUACUUGCAAAGCCCGUGAAGUAAAGUGUUUAUAGAAUGAGCAUCGGGUUGAAGACCACAUUUAAGGGUAAUUGCUAAAACAGAGAAACCCAAAUCCACCCGGUUUAGAUGGCACAAGCAAUUCAGAAAAAUAUUCAUUGUACAGACAUUAGGUCGGAAUUGAGCACAACCCAUCAACUGUUUACACAUAGAAACGACAGCAGAAUAUUGCUUCAUCUUGGAGAGUGCCCCCAACAAACAAUUGAAAGUCCAAAUGGAGGGCAAGGGUUUGGUUUGAAUCAUGGAAUUAAAGUAACCCAAUGCUUCAUCUUUCCUAAUUUUUCCAGAUUUGCAUCGAGUUUGGAUCAUACUCUCCGAUUCCAAAUGGGUUUGUUCAAUUCUAUCCGUACAGGUAGGAUUAGCACGAACAGCGUUGGAAUGAAAUCCACUACUUGGAUUCUGCAGAAAGGUAUAAAUGAAAGAAGGAAGAUUACCUGGAGAUGGAGGUCUUGUGGUUAUCCUCUUCAUCUUCAUUUGAAAGCUCUCUACUGUUUUUCUUGGUGUUCGAGGACGAUUUUGGUAUAAGGGCAAGGAUUUGGCUCCAUUUGAGAGCUCUCUCCUGUUUUUCUUCUGUUAGUUUUCAGUUCUUACAAUUCUUUGUGAUUUUCGUUAACGGAAAACUAUUCUGCAUAGCUAAGGCUAGGAGGAAACCUACACUAUAACCUUGUACUUUUAUUAUUUUGAUUUUAUUUUGAAUUUUCGCGGAAUUUUACAUUGUGGAUUUCCAAUUAAAUUUCUUAUUUAAUCUAAUUUCAGAUUGAUGAAUAUUGAUUAUGAUUCAUAGGAUAUACCAUGUUUUUAUUAUAGUUUUGUUUCAACAUUCAUGCUUUUAGUGAAAUGUAUAAAUUGGUUGUUUGGUAUGAUUUUGACGGCAUAGUUUUUUUUUAUAUUUUGUCUUCGUAGGUAUAAACUAUUCUUAGGAUUUUGAGUAAAUUGUAACAAUCAUCCUUUAACUUUAACUCAAUUUGAGCAAUGAUCCCUUAACUAAACAUCAAUUACCAUUAGUCUCUCAACUCAUCAAAACGUGCAGAUAUGGUCCCUCAACUAAAAAUUCAUUACCCUUGGUCUUUCAACUUUAAUCCAACUGGAGAAAUUAUCUCUCAACUUUAAUCCAAUUGUAGUUUUAGUCCUUCCAACAUAACUCAUUUUGACAAAAUUCUGACGAAGUUGAUGAAAAUGACCAUAACUACACGUUAUGAUGAGUUACGGGACCCCAAUUGUAGCAAUAGUUUUUCUAACAUAAUUCAUUUUGACAAAAUUCUAACGAAGUUAAUUAAAAGGACCAUAGUUACACAUUUUCAUGAGUUGAGGGACCAUAAUAAUGAACUUUUAGUUGAGGGAUCAUUGCUCCAAUUUGAUUAAAGUUGAGGAGUCAUUGCUACAAUUUACUCUUAUUUCUAUAAGAAAUCUAAAGGGCUUAUAUAGUUCGAAAUCCAAAAUGGAGAUUUAAUCACCAAAAGCUUUUAUAUUGAGAAAACUUAAUUGUCAUAUCCUUCGGUUUUUUAUUUCUUCGGUCCCUUCAGCGUCAAGUGCUCCUAAUUUUCUAGAUUUUAGGUGUUUCUCCUUUGGAUUUUUAGAUGUACAAGAGUAGAAACCUUCCGUACAUAAGCUUCACAUCCUCCCUCAACAAUUUGUGUGUCUGUUUGUCGAAAUUAUUCAUGUCUUCCUAUGUUACGGUUUAAAAAAGGAUUUUGAUAUUGUCCCCAGUCAAUCUGAGGGUUCUAUUUGAUCUCUAAGAAUUGUGGGAAAGAACAGGCAAAUGCAUCUAGACGGGUGGUUUGGUGGUUAGGAGACUUGGAGGGCCAAUGGAGGCAGUCUAUUCUUGCCAUAUUUUAUUUUUUAGGUUAGUAUAUGCAGCUUUAAAUAAAUGAUGUUAUAUCAUCACAAUCUCAUUGCUGGAUUUUAUUCAGCGUUGGUUUCAAUAUGAUAGUAUCAUAUUUAGACUCAAAUGCUAAUAGAUUAUGAGUGGUUUUUAAUCUUUGAUGAUUUGGCAUCUGGUUUUAUCUUUCUUAUGUUGUUUUUUUUAAUUAAAUUUUUUGGAAUUUUCAGAAUUUUGGGUCGUUGGAGGCAAAAUUUGGUUGCUUACUUGACACGAUGAGGUAUAUAAUUAUACACCCAAUUGACUUUGAUCUUUAUGUUUUUAAUAAUUGAUAAAGAGUAGUGUUAAUAAUUGAGAAAUCUUAAGAGAUUUGUUUGGUUUUGAAAUUCCAUCAAAAGCUAUGAUUUUUGUGCGAUUGAUUUUGUGAGGGAGAUAAGACACUACUUUCUAAUUUGGUUUUUUCUCCCUCCAUUUUCAAAUUCCUUCAAAAUCUUGCAAUUUGCCUUUCUAAAUUAGCUUAAGAGUUUUCAUAAAAUUGAAUACUUCGUUAAUUUGAUCAUUGAGAUUGGUUCUGAAAUUCCAAUUUGUUUAAGCAAUGACAAAUUAGGAUUGGUUUUUAAAUUCCCCAUUCAGAAAUACAUAGCAAUUUCAGCUACAAUUUGUUAAGCAAAUACAUGGCUAAUAAUUAACGUCUGUUUACUCUAAAAAAAAACCUUUCCCAAAUCCUCAAAUACAUAGCUAAUUCAAUUAAACGCACAUUUGAUUGCUGCAAUCAAUGUCAGAUAUUCCUUGGGAGUAAGCAUUGUUAAAUUUUAAUUGCAAAUGGCAGCUGAAAUUAUCUUAUUUAUUACCACUAUUGAUUUGGAUAUGUAAUACACAAUGUUUAGAUCAUUUGAUCGGUACUUAGUUAAGUUUAAUACUAGCGGUUUGGCUAUGAUUAAAUUGAUCCGGUCUUGAAUAGUGUGGCAUGUGAGAUGAUAAUAGACUAACAGAGGAAAAGGAGUUGAUGCAUUUGUGUUUGAUUUACAAAUUUUGGCAAAUCCUUGCCAUUUUUUUGGUUUCCUGGUGAUUUAUAAUUAUCUUCAUAACCAAAAAGCGAUAACUUCGAGUUUCUAGAAGUUUUAAUGUGUUUUGCGUUCUGCAUUUUUGUAACGUUCGUACAAGUUGUCACUAAGAUCUUUUGGUUUCUAGCUACUUUAGUUUUUCAGCAUUGAAUUGUAGGUUAGAGUUUUUGAUUGAGUUCUUAUUUAAUUUCAUAUUGGAAUGGGUACAAUAUGAGCACUCCUAAAAUUGGAAAGUUCUCCGAAGAUUGCGAGUAUGGUUGUGUCAUAUAUGGUUUAUUGUCCAUGCAAGGAUGGCGUACCACAAUGGAGGAUGCUGUGAGUGCAUUAAACUUUUCUCUUCCUAUUUGAAGUUGUUUUCAGAACAUAAGUUCUGUUAUGUCCAUUUUCAGAAGUUUCUACUGUUGUAUCAUUUUCCGUCUUUAUUUAGCAUGCUAUAGUUUAGGAUUUCACUAAAUAUGAUUUUACUUGACAUGUUCAAAUUCUCUUAAUCAUGUUCUUGAAUUUUACUAUAUGUAUCGUGUUCUUUGUAUUUCAUUAUCUGAACUCUGUUAUUUGAAUUUGGUUACUUGAAUCGUGCCUAAUAUUUGAUGUGGCCACUGGCUUUGUAUGGUUGGCUGGUGUGCUUUGAGAGUGUUUUUAGUCAAUGGGAGACGGAGGAUAAAGGUGUGGGGCAGCGAAGUCAAGUGGGAUUUGGAAUUUAGGAUGGUAGAAUUUUUGCUAAUUUAUGGGAUUAGAAGUCUUCCUUUAUUUUUGUCUUGGUGUGAUCAAUUGCAACAAAGAAUUUUCAUUAAAUUGAGGCAGUGAACCUACUAAUUUUCAACUGUUGUUUAUCUACAAUCUUCUCCAUUCUCUUGGACCAAACAUGAAAUCCCAAACACCGUAUCACCACAAAGCAAGCAAGCUGAAAAGCAAACCAACAAACCUUUUUUCAGAGGCACUUAACAGAACCUUUCUAUGGGUUAAUUGUUGUUUCAAUUAUACCGGAUUGAAAACGAGUAUGGAACCAUUGGUCAAGCAUAUGGGGCUGUUGCUUCUUUUUCUCAGGGAAAUAGAGCAUACUAGAAAGUUUUGCCCGCGCGUUGCUGCGGGAUUGGAAAUUGUGUGAAAAAUUAUGUUUUACAUGUAUAAACACAUCAACUUAUAUCACAUGUAAUUAAAUCAAGCAAUCUCUAAACAUGAGAAAUGGAUCUUAGAAAGUAUAAACCCUACCUCAUAAUAUUAAUACAAUUAACAAAUUCCCAGUGCAUGAUCACAAAAAGGUAUAGAAAAGUAAUUCAAUUUCUAAAUUUCAAAAAUGGGAAAGAUAAAUUUAAAAAUAAAAAAAAAGGGUCUAGGGUUUAGGGUUUAGGGUCUAAGUUCUCAGUUCUCACCAUAACGAAAAUUAUGAUCUCAUUUUAACAUAAAACUCAGGUUUUAUUUCGGUCACCAGCAUUAUAAAGCUAGUGAUUUCAACUUGUGCAAGCAAACAACUGAAUUAGACGUAAGCCUAACUUCAAUUUAACCAAAUAAAAAAAAACAAUCACGAUCAAACUAACCACUCUUAUUCUCAUAUGUAGAAGCUAUCCUUUGUUUUGCCUUUGUGAGCAGUGCACUUUCCAUUCUCUACACACAAAAUGAUCAGCAACAUUAAAAAACUUAAUAAAUUGUAUGUAUACAUUACUAUAUAUGUAUUUGGACAUAAAGUACAAAAAUUUACUAACAAAUUAACAAAAGAAGUAAUUAUGAAUUGGAAUUAAAUGAUAUUAUAGUUGUUAAAAAAAUACCUGACCAAGUUUUACAAAUAGGAUCAUAAAUUGUUAAAAAAAAUAACUGCACUGAAAUAUCUAAUUACUCAAAUCUAUAAUUCUAUUAAAACACAUCACUGAAAACCCCAAGGAGAGGUGAAUAUUCCUAACCUUGCACAGUUAAAUUUGCAUUUUGUUUGAGGGGAGAAAAAUGAUCAGAACUGAUAAGUCAAUAGUUAAAUAGGUUUACUCUGGUGUCAAAUAUUUUUUAAUACAUACAUAAUGUUGUCUAUUUAAAUCAACAUUGAUUCUUGCAUACCUUCGGUUAUAUAAUGUUUGGAGUUGAAUGUAUAUAUACCCAAAUGGGAAUAAUUCUUUAUCCGAAACUUAGAAAAAACCAACUCAUCCGAGAACGCAAUGGAACUUAGCUGCAACUCCAAUUUAAUCAAUGUCAAUUAUUAUAUUGAAACAAUGUGAUCAAACUUAAUCAAAACUCCAAAUCCACCAAAAGUUUAAAUUUCUUACCUUGAGUGCUUCAGAAAACGACGGCAUUCUAGCCUGGAAAUAAAAUCCCCAAAAUCAGAAAAAUGAAAUUUGCACAGAAUCUUUGGAGGCCAAUUUCGUGAAUAUUUUGCAAACUAUUAGAAAUCCUAUUUAAAAUUUUACUCACGUUAUCAACAAUGCCAGCCUUUGCCUCAUCUCUCCUUUUACGUUGGCUUGUAUAAGUUUGUUUUCAAUAAAACCCUGUAAGAAAGGGAAAGUAGAGGAAAGUUUAAUGAUAUAAACAAAUAAUAGAACAGAUCCCAUAAGUUCCCUAAAAUGAAAGCUACAAUAUGCACAAAAUGUAACUAUUAGUAAUAAUAACCAAUGUAAUCAAACAUGAAUAAAAUGGUAUCGUACAAUUGUGUUCUUUUUCAUACAGCUCUGAGGUUGAGUCUUAUGAAAUGGCAAGUUUGAUACAAAUUAUAUUUCCGGAAAAAAUUCCUCUAAUCAGAUUAUCUACCCGCUUGACUUCAUCUUCAAUAGCAUCAUUAAGAUCUCAUUAAGAUCCACUACAUUCUCAAACAGGGACAUUGCCUUGGCAUUCUCUUCAUCCUGAAGAGUUUAAUCAUGAUCACAAUUCCGAACUCCAAGUCAAUCAAUUAUCUACAUCAAUGGACUAAUAAAGUGUCCAAUAACGAUAAAAAGUACCCACCUUGACUUUCUUGAAUAUAUCUUGGAAUCCCAACUCCCUAAGAACUUGCUCCCGAAGUCUGCAAAGAAGCUGGAUUUCCCAAACACAGCAGGUAAAAAAAAGAAACUUAAAUGCUAAGAAAACGAUGCUGCGAUAAAUCAUGACUACAACAUAAUAGAAAGUGAGAAAUCAACUCAAAUCAAAAUUUUGAGCUUACAAUGCAAUCCGGCGGGCCGCUGUGACUCUCAAGAUCCUUCUUCAAGUCCUCCAGUAUCUCAGUGUACCUUUCAGGCAAACACAUAAACAAAUUGCGGGCAUUUCCAAAAACCCAAUUCACUCAUCACAAAAAAAUCAGUAAAGUGUGUACCUCUGAGCAAAUUUCUCAGGUCUGGCCGGAGCGUCGGGAACCGAUGCGCCAGACUCAGCUCGUUUCCUGCCGAAAACCAAUCAAACCCAUUAACGAAAAACCCAAGAAAUUAAGGUUUAUGAUGGAGGUUGGGGAAAUGAUGAGGAUUAUCACUUGAAGGAGGGGGUGGAGUUGUAGAAGAGGUCGAUCCAAGAGAGCUCAGUGGAAGUGGGCUUUCGGGAAUUGUCGGAGGGAAAUCUGUAGGGGAUGGUGCAGGCUCUGUAGUUGAAUUCGAUCGGCAUCGUCAACAGUGGAAAUAAAGAGUGAAUUAGAAGAUUUAUCAGAGAGCUUACCUCUGCAGUUGUUGCCACUGCGCCUUCAUGUUUCACCCAGAUGCAGACUUCAAUCUAUCUAAAACUGCAAGAUCCACACAUAAACCACAAUAUUACAAUUCUUUUCAACUUAAUUACCCAAAAACAACAAACUUUAAAAUACCCCAAAUACAUAGCACCCCUAAAUUCACCAUCGUCUUUGACAAACGAAACUCAGCUCUCAGCGAUGGCGACAUUCGGUUCGGGUGAGUUGUCAGAGGUGAUCGGCUAGCAUAAAAAUCGACCCCAUCAAUACUCACAUCCCAAAUUUCAAAAAUUUUAUCAAAAUUGAUGCAAAACUAACUAAAACCCAUCAAAAUCAGGGAAAAAGAUGAGUUUUACCCGAGGAAUCGAGCUGAACAUAUAUCUUCUGGGUUCUACCUUUACCUGCAUAGAAAGUCAAAAAUUAAAAACCCACAAACCAAAAACUUAAAAUAAAAAAAAAUCAAAUUUCUUUCUCUAGAGGUUUAGACAAAGAAACAUCUUCACCUGCACAGAAAGUCAAAAAUUAAAAACCCACAAAUCAAAAACUUAAAAACCAAAAAAAAAAAAUCAAAUUUCUUUCUCUAGAGAUUAUGACAAAGAAACCUGAAGAGAUCUCUGACGGGUUUCCAAGGGAGAGGUCGAAAUGGAAGAGAUGCCGUCCAACGGAUGGGGAGGAGGAAGGAAGGAAGAACAGAGCAUCGUUUCUAUUUUUCCAGAAAAAUAUCUGCACAAAUUUUGACUAGUUCAUCAUUCUUAGCAAGAAAGUGAGAGAGAGACACAGAGAACCCCAGAUCGGAGAGCCAGAAAACGUGAGGAUUGAGAGGAAGAAAAGCGUUUGUGAGACACGGAUCGAAAAGGAUGGAAGGCUCCAGAAGACCAACGUGUCGACAUCCAAUGGAGUGUGAGAACCAAAGCACCAAGGAAAUCGAAACCGGAGAGGAUAAACGCGCGGCCUCGGAGAGCGAAGUCAUUUUACUGUAGAAAAGAGGGUAAAAAAGUGGCUUAACAAACGAAUUGAGGGGCAUUUUGGUCCGCACACUGCCCUAAAACAGUAACCAAAUGUUUGGGUUUAAUAUAUAUAGAAUUUUACAACCAUAUGUUUUGUAAUCAGCUCGGUUGAAUGUAUAUAAAAGUUAAGCUGCUUAUCUUACCGACACUGUUCACUCAUCUAUCCCUUUUGUUCAUUCAUGAUUAUAUUGAAUUUUUUUUUCAGGUUAAAUGUGUCUUAUUAAUAUAGUUAAGGCUAAUGCAUUCAAGUCCCGCAGCAACGUGCAUACAUAUUACUAGUUACUUUAGUUUAAAGAAAGGGGAGAAAUUGCCCUGUACGAAUGUGCAACGUUUGUGUCCGAAUUUUUUAUUGCGAGUCUCAAGGCCUACAUCUAAGAUCCUAAAAGGCAUCUUUCAGAACUUACUUCAUUCUCUUCUUGCAGCACAUCAGCAAGCAAGAGCCUGACCAUACAUCCAAAGUCUUGAGAAGCUUCCAAAUAAAAUAAAAAUUUUCAUUUGGCGAUGUUGUAAUAAAGCGUUGGCAGUUAGACAUAAUCUUCAUCGGAGGCGCAUGAGGGUUGAUAACGUCUGUGGGGUCUGCGGCGCAAUGGAGGAGACGGAAAAUCACCUAUUCUUCCAAUGUGAAUUCAGCCAUCGUUUCUAGUUCUGCUCUCCUUUGCACCUAAACUCCCAUGGUAUGAAUGGUGCAGAUUUUCUGACUAAUUGGGAACUCUUCCAUAAAAGUGUCAAGGGAAAGGGGGAAGUAGAUGAGAUACUGCAAGAUUUCGCCUUCGGCCUCUGGAGGUUGUGGAAGAACAGGAAUGAAACAGUCUUCAACGGAACGCAACAUCAACCUCUGGACGUUCUGAACAUCUGGAGGAGCAGUCUGGCUGAGUUCAGAGAAGCCACUACCAGGACGGCUGAUGGUGAUCGUCCUCCCCGUGACGCGGGGACUUCGGAGGUGAGGCGUCGGGGCGCUAUGUGGACGAAACUUGAGUUUGGCUUUAUCAAAGUAAAUACGGAUGCUGCGUGGUGUAAGAAUUCCCUUCGUAUGGGUGUGGGGUGGGUGUGCCGAGACUUUGCCGGUGUACUCCAAGCUGCAGGGGGUCGGGCACCGGGCUAUGCCACUCUGCUGCGGCGGGCGAAGCCCAUGCCAUUCGUGAGGCCAUUUUGGCUUGCACAUCGUUGGGCUUUAACAAUAUAAUCAUCGAAUCUGAUGCGAUGGUGAUCAUACAAAUGCUUAGGAAGGAAAUACCUUCUGAUUUUAGUCUGGAUUGUAUUCUUGGUGAUAUUGAGGUUCUAGCACGUAGGUUGACGUCUGUUUCGUUUGCCUUUGUGUCUAGGGAGAGCAAUGCUGCGGCUCACUCAGUGGCCAAGUAUGUUUUCAAGCAAGGCAAAGAGUUCAUUUGGGACUGUAUUGGCCCGGAUUUUUUGUUUAAUACUCUUGCAAGGAUGUAAACAUCUCUAUUCGUAUUUAAUGCAUCUCUAUCUUUGGGAAAAAAAAAGUCUUGAGAAGCUAUGCUGAGUACCGAAGACCACCUUUUCGAAAAAAUCUUCGUCCGAACAAGAAGUCUUGCUUUCCUUAACAUCAUAAUCCACGGUGCUUUUUCUGAACAAUUAUUGCUUUGUAUUCCACACAUUUACCUUUGGAGCAAGUGGAACUUUUCUUUUAAAAUAAAAGAAAGCCGAAUGGUGGAGAAGUUGGAGGGGACAAUUGUUGCAAGUUGUUUGAAAAAAAAAAGGAAAAGAAAAGAGCACUUGCCUUUGUGGCUUUGAAAAGUGUGUGUGUUUUGUCGACUCGCUCUUGGGGCACUUGCCUGUGCCUUCUCAUUGAGUAUUGGAGCUUUAAAAACACAGGUGUCUGUGUUUUGUCGACGUAAUUGAUGGUGUUGAUGUUAAAAUGUGAUUCAUGAUGAUGAAAGAAAAGAAAUAAUAGUACAAUAAUAAAAAGGUGAGGUGCAUCGGCACCAUCACAGAAAUAAUAGUAAAAUAUAAUUUAAAAAAAAAAAAAGAGAAAUGGGGACAAAUGUUUCUGGAGCUAUGUGGAAGAUAAUGAGAGAAAUUGCACUGUAUGAACGUGCAGGGUCAGGAUUUCAUUUUAUUUACGAGACUCUCUUACUUUAGUCUAAAGUUAGGGGAGAACAAUACCAAAAAAAAAAAUUUAAUAGAAAUGGUUUGAAAACUUUAAGUUUUAAUGAUAAGAAUAAAAUAAAAGGUAAAGUAAAUAGUAUCAGGAUUAAUCUUUUUAACGUAAAAAUAUACAUUUUCUUUAAAAUAAACAAUAUUGCAGAUUUUUCGAUAAAACACUGUUACAAAAAAAGAACUAACCUUAUUUACAAAGUCAUUUACAAAGUCUUCGUGUAAACAAUAAAGACUUCAAUUAUCAGGCUUAUGGUGUGUUUGUUGCGCCGGACUGUCUCGGACUGGACUAGCUGCCGGGACUAAGCUGGACUGGCUUAGACUGGACUAAGCUGGACUAACUUAGUGAAGCGUUUGGUGCAGUCUCGGACUAAGAAGCAGGAUAAGAAAAACAGUAUUGUUCACCAGAUUUGUGUUUGCUUAGACUAGGACUACAAAUUUUUGCCAUUGUGUAAUAGAGUAAUGCUACAAAUAUCAUGAUAUGGGUUAAUUGGAACAUAUUUUUACCAUGUAUAUUAUGAAUCUUAAAAAAAAUUGACAAUUGUUUUGUUUCUAUUACCUGCUAAUAGAAUUGGGUUUAAUUUGCAAAUGUAGCUUGAUUUAAACUCUAUCACCCAACAGAAGAAAAAUAAUAGUGGCCAAUACAUGCAACUUCAACAAAUACAAGUACAUAAGAUCUCCAUAAUUUAGAAAAUCCUAGUUAACAUUAGUUAACAUUAGCCAAAAUAGAUCUCCAUAAUUUACAAAAUGGCUAGUUAACAUAAGCCAAAAUACUAGUGCAAAGCUAAGUUAUAAGUCAUAACAUAAGAUUGUAUGAUUAAUAAAAUACAUCCAUGUUAACGUUAAUAAAAUACAUCCAUGUUAACAUUAGCCAAAAUCCUCAUCCACUUGCGUUGUCGCUUAAAAGCCUUUGGACGAACACUUUCUUGAGUUCCGGUUUGAUUGCCCUGAACACUUCCACAUUUUUUGGUUUAUCCAAAAUAAGAGACAAUGCAUCAAUUUGAUCCAUAGGAGAGAGACCCAUUGCUUCAAGUUCAUUAGCUAUGUCAGUAUGAUCUGCAGUACCUUGAACUAAAGCUUCAGUUACCAUUUGCAUCCUCUUCCCACUUUCAACAUAAAAAUCUUUCAGUCCAUUGAUAAUUGCCUCAGUUCCAUCACUUGAACUUCCCACAGCUCUUUCCUCUUUCUUUGGCUAUUUUCAAAUGGGGUGCUUUGUUGGCUUUGUUGGUUCAUUGAAGAAACAAAAUUAUCACCUCCAAUAUCACUUUCACCAACAUGAUCAUGACUUUGUUCCUCCACCAUUUGAGCAGGGGUUUCGGCUACAUUACCCGUAGCCCGAUCUUUUCCAAAUAUAUAUGCAAAUCUAUCAAACAGUGGAAAAUGUUUGCUUCUCCAUCCAUCGGCUUCUUUAUUUCUCUAAGAUUAUAUCAACAUAGCAAAACUAAAAUUUAGCAUGCGUAACAAAUAUAGCAGCAAGAAUAUAACUAAUGCAUAAAUAAAAUAGGAUAUGAACCUGCACAUAAGUUUGCCAUGCGUCAUCACUGUCAACUUCAACGCACUUUUUGACAUCAUUCCAUGCAAAUCCACUUGUGUUUAUCAUGUCAACGACCAUACUAUAUGUUUUUUUUCCAUUUCUUCAACUUGGACUCAAUAUGUGGAUUUGCCUUUAUAUUUGAAUGAGGACAUAAAACAUUGACAGCUUUUGCUAUUUCAACCCAAAGUACCUUGUUUGAAAGCACCGGUGUCACACCGUUGCUUCCGAGCAACAAAAUCCUCAAGAACUCCUAGUAAUACUUCUUCCUCAAAUGCUUCCCAUUUACGCCUUCUUCCUUUUGGCUCUUUAGUAGCAUUCAAAAAAUUUUCGUUAUCCAUACCUAAACAAAAAAUAUUUUAAUGAAGGAAAAAUACCAUACAAAUAAUCAAUUUGCAUAAUAUCCAAUCAACUUGCAUAAUAUCCAAUCAACUUGCAUAAUAUCCAAUUAAUUUGCAUACCAUCCAAUCAUUGUGCUAAUAUCUAACAAAUGCAUGAUAAAAAGGAAUACUAAAAUAAAAUGUUAUCAUUAACACAUAUAGCUAGUUCGGUUGCUGGUUCCUAAUUGCUCUCCACUCAUUAUACAUUUCCUGAGCCAUAUCAUUCCUCAUUGCAGUCCACUGGUCCGAUGUUUGAACACUACCAACAUAUAUCACCUUCUUCUGUAUUUUGUCCAUCUUCUAUUAUUGGCAAAUUCUCCAUUGGAUCUACAGACAUCUCUUGCCUAAUAAGAUUGUGUAGUAGGCAACAAGCGGUAAUUAUUCGACCUUGUGUCCUUAUCGGAUAGAAAGAUGGACUCCUUAGUAUCGACCACCUUCCUUUUAGCAAGCCAAAACAGCGUUCAAGUACAUUCCUUGCCUUAGAAUGCUUCAUGUUAAAAUAUUCUUCCUUAUUAGAAGGUGUUCGUCCCUCCCAUUCAGAUAAAUGAUAAGGUAUUCCUCUAUAGGGUGCAAGGAAUCCUUCACCAUUUGUAUGACCACCAUCUACAAGGUAAUAACAACCUAAUGAAAAAAAAACAGACCUUAUUAGUGUUUUGUAGUUGACAAACAAAACUAAACCUAACUUACAAAGUUGAGACUAAGUAAUAGUCUUACCCGCUGGUACCUUAAAACCAUUAGGCCUACUAAUUGCAUCAUGUAGCACUGUAGAGUCUGAUGCGGAACCCUCCCACCCCGGAAACACAUAUAUGAACUGCAUAUCUCCUGAACACACACCUAACACAUUAGUUGCGACUCGACCCUUUCUUGUUCGGUAUCUUGGUUUGUCAAUUUCAGGUACAUGCACAUCAAUGUGUGUUCCAUCCAAUGCUCCCAAGCAAUUCUUAAAAAUAAAAAAUAAAAAAGUUUUUGUUAUUUAUACAAAGGGAAUUAAGAGUUAAAGCUUAGGGAAAAUGAAAAAAAAUUCUCAUCAUACCUUAAAACAUCGCCACCUAGGAUCUGUAGAAUCAAUAGGCACAGGCUGGGGGACUUUUAGUAGGAUACCUUGUAAUCGCAAAAUUCCUUGCAAUACGCUAUUGAAAUACCUACUUAUAGUCUCUCCCGACCUAUAAAAUCUACCGCCAACACUACGAUUCUUAGUAUGAUGUGCUAAUAUUUGUAAAGUCGUACAUACAUGUUCCUCUACAGACACCAAACCAUCAGUUUUUACCCUCCCAUCUUGACGAAGUAAGUCGCAUAAUAUGCCAAAAGUCCUUUUAUCCAUUCUCAAUUCGUUGACACAUUCAGUAUCAGUAUUCCCUAUUAUACCAUUCAGAUAAUACAAACUAAUCUCUCGUCUAAUAAGUGAACGGUUAGUCAAUGUGGGUCGUUUAACAUGUCUCUGUUUGCCACGUAGCAUCAUCACCACAAGAAUCGUACAAAUACAAAUUAUCUCCAAAUAAGACAUCUCUAAUAAUAAGAUCAAUAAAAGCUUCAUUCGAUCCAUAUCUAUCCAAACAAACAAAAAAACAAUAGUAUGAGGAUUGCUAUCAUUCCUAGGCAUUGCAUGUGAAGAGGGAAAUUAAAGGACACCUGUAAUGCAGUAACCUUAGCCUUAGCCUUUUGUUUAUGCUCCUCUUCUCUGCAACAAACAACCACAAAAAAUUGCAAUUCAGCAUCAACCCCACAAAACAUUCACAUUGUAAUAUCAUGGUUAUAAACCAAGUACAUACACACACACUCAUGGACAAAUGUGCAAAAUACACAUACAUAUUCACACUCACACUCACACUAACACACACACACGGAAAUACACACUCUCACACACUGACAUAGACUCACACACACCCUGCAUACAUACAUACACACACACACUGCACACACACACACACUGCAUACAUACACACACACACACACACUGCACACACACACACUGCAUACACACUCACACACACACACUGCACACACACACACUGCAUACACACACACACUGCACACACAGUCACAGUCACACUCACACUCAUACUUACACUCACACACACACACUGCAUACACACACACACACACUGCACACACACUCACACUCACACACACUCACACUUACACUCACACUCACACUCACACACUGCACACAGCCACUCACACACACACACACACUGCACACACGCACACACACACACAACACACUGCACACACACACUGCACACACUGCACACACACACUGCAUACAUACACACACACACACACUGCACACACACACUGCAUACAUACAUACACACACACUGCAUACAUACUCAUACUCAUACACACACUGCACACACUGCAUACAUACAUACUGCAUACAUAUACACACACUGCACACACACACACUGCAUACAUACACUGCACACACACACUGCAUACAUACUCAUACACACACUGCACACACACACACUGCAUACAUACAUACAUACACACUGCAUACAUACUCAUACUCAUACACACACUGCACACACUGCAUACAUAUACACACACUGCACACACACACUGCAUACAUACACUGCACACACACACUGCAUACAUACUCAUACACACACUGCACACACACACACUGCAUAUAUACCGCAUACAUACACACACACACACUGCAUACACACUCACACACACACUGCACACACACACACUGCAUACAUACAUACACACACACUGCACACACACACACUGCAUACAUACAUACUGCAUACAUAUACACACACUGCACACACACACACACACUGCAUACAUACUCAUACACACACUGCAUACAUACCGCAUACAUACACACACACACUGCAUACACACUCACACACACACUGCACACACACACACUGCAUACAUACUCAUACUCAUACACACACUGCACACACUGCAUACAUACAUACUGCAUACAUAUACACACACUGCACACACACACACUGCAUACAUACACACUGCACACACACACACACUGCAUACAUACUCAUACACACACUGCACACACACACACACUGCAUACACACACACUGCACACACACUCACACUCACACUUACACUCACACUCACACACUGCACACAGUCACACACACACACACACGGGGACAGAGUGCAACACACUCUUACCCUCACACACACACUCUGUUUUUAUACUCACACACACACACACACACACUGCAUACAUACUCACACACACACACUGCACACACACUGCAUACAUACACACACACUGCACACACACACACACACUACACACACACACUGCAUACAUACACACACACACACACAUUGCACACACACACACACUACAUACAUACACACACACACACACUGCAUACAUACACACACACAUUGCAUACACACACACACAUUGCACACACACACACACACUACAUACAUACACACACACACACUGCAUACAUACACACACACACACAUUGCAUACACACACACUGCAUACAUACACACACACACACACAUUGCAUACAUACACACACACAUACUGCAUACAUACACACACACACACUGCAUACAUACACACACACAUUACUGCAAAUUCAAAAGAACCAGAGUAAGAGUGAGAGACAGAGAGAGAGGGUUACUUUGACUGGGAUCAAACAGGGGAGGAGGAUGGGCGAUUUGGUUGGAGUGUUCCUGAGAGGUCGCCUGAGAAAAAGGUGGAGGAGCAGGGCGAGCAGGAUCUGCAAUUUGACCCUAAAAAUCAAAACUCUAAUUUGUUCAACUACAGAGGUAUAUUAUUGAAAAUUUCUCAAACCCAAAACAAUUAAAUCAAAUAAAGCUUAGUAAUAUCACGAUCUGCAAAACAAAUUGAAGAAAUAAAUCGAAGAUUCGAAGUUUACCAGGCAAGAAGAGCAGAUAAGGGCGAGCAAGAUGCAGAUGAAGGCAAGCAAGACGCAGAGAUGAGGGUGAAGAGGACGAGGAUGAGGGAGCAAGGCAAGCAGGGAGCGAUGGCGACAACUCUCUCUCUCGCAGGAUGAGCGAGGUUUUCUCUCGCGGAAGGUCUUGCGAGUCCGGCCGAAUUUGGGGUUCUCGGCUAAGAACUCCUAGCGAACCCCUUAAUCCGAGCGAGUCCCAUUUAAUCCCAUUAAACCUAAUCCUGGUGCAGAACAAACAAGGGACUACAAUCUAGUCCAAUCCAGUCCCCCCUAAUCCGGUCAAACAAACGGGUCCUUAAAGUCUUCAUGUGCACAGGCUUAAAGUCAUUUACAGUGUUUGUGUCCGAAUUUCCCUUUAUUUACGAGACUGCCACUAUCAUGUCUCUUCUCACUUCUCUAUUAUUUCUGCAGGAAAAAGACAGAGUUUAUAGAAUGGUACAUGGCAUCUGAAAAGAAGGAAUAUAAUCUUAGAAGUUUUAACGAAAAGUCUACGGUACUGUUUACUUUAACGAAAAACCACAUUUUACACUAAAAAGUCAAACCUGAUACUAUUCACUUUACCUUUUAUUUUGUCCUUAUCGUUAAAACUCAAAGUUUUCAAGCCCUUUUCACUAGUUUCCUUAUAAUCUUAUAUAGAAAGCCGUUGGGUUGGUCAACAGUGUUGCACAGUGCAACAUUUUUUUUACCAAUUUACCCUUGCACAAUUUGAAAUAUGAUUUUGGGUAGCUUUUGAUUUUUUUUGGCAGAGGGGCAUUUUCGUCCAAUUAUUUUGUCGAAGCCAGUGACACCAAAGUUUUGUCCGCAUGUGCACUGUUUACUUUUCACUUCUUUAUUUUUAAAUACGUUCAAAACAUCAUAAGAAGCGUGUAAUGCAGGUUAUAAAAAAGGUCUUUCGCACGCGAAUAAUAAUGUGAUUAAAUGAAUUGUCAAAUGAUUUUUUUUAAACAAACGAUAUUAUCUACAUUAAAAGGGAGUAGGUGAGCUUGGCCUCACAAUGACUAGCAAUAAUAUGAUUCAAUCAAUUGUUUAUUAAAUAUUAUUUUCUCUAUUAUGUCAAAUGAUCAAUUUUUUCUUUAUAAAAAAGAUCUUUCGCACACGGAUAAUAAUGUGAUUAAAUUAAUUGUCAAAUGAUUUUUUUUUACCAAAUAAUAUUAUCUACACGAAGAGGGUGAGCUUAGCCUCACAAUGUGCUAACAAUAAUGUGAUUCAAUCAAUUGUUUAUUAAAUAUUAUUUUCUCUAUUCCUGAUGUAAAUUCUAUAAAAACCGAUUUUAUUAUGUGAAUUCAGCUACUUUAAUUAAAUAUUAUUUUCUUCUAGCAUGAUCUAAAAUUAUUCAUUUACUUCAAAUAUUUAAAUUUUUUUUUAUCAAUUUACGUAUAUAAAUACAUUUAAAAUGUGUAAGUCGCACAUAACACGCCGUAAUUCAAAAAAUGCCUUCUGCACGCGAGUGAAGGCUAGUAAUAAUAAAAAUGAAACUAAUGAAAAGGACUUGAAAACUUUGAGUUUUAACGAUAAAGACAAAAUAAAUGGGAAAUUAAUGGCAUUGAGCGCAAUAGAAGGUAAGCCAUAAUCCUAAAUAUGAGGAUUCUCAAUCUUCAUCUCUCCAUGAUUUUAUAGUUUGAAAUUCAUUUGUUUUUUUAUUUUUUCUUGGAAUUAGAAAAAAAAUACCCAAGCGUUCGGAAAUUUCUCAAAAGAAAUUGUUCAUUAACUGACUGAAAAAAUUCGCAAUUUUGUAUGUAAAGGUAAAGCACUUGAAGGGAGGCAUGUGCCGCUUUGUCGACUUUAUUGAAAUAAAUUGUCGUCAACUAACUUAAAAUAUUUGCAACUUUGUACCUAAAACACGUAAAGGAGCCCUCAUCCUUUAAAGAUAUAUAUUAUACUUUUUGUUAUAAAUAGGCAAAAUUUAUAGAGAGAUAACCUUUACUCGGUGAAGGAACGAAGCAGUUGCAGAGUAAUAUACCGACACAAGCUGUUGCAGAGGAAGUAAUUUAUAUUAUUGCUAUUAGAUAUAUUUCUCUUUUCUUUCUUCUUCUCAUUCACUAAUCUUUGCACAAUUGAAUUGCUCUAUUUAUAGAGCUACUUCAAUGGAAAAUUACAAAACAUUACUAUUUAGCUUAUGAGUAUAUAGUACACAUGUGAUACUUUACUAUACACAUUACUAUACACAUGUGGGCAAACAUACCCAUCAUUUACAACACUCCCCCUUGGAUGCCCACAUAUCAACAUCAGUUGCCUCAUUAAAACCUUGCUUGGAAAAACCCUGUGGGAAAAAAACCAUAGCGAAGGAAAAAGAGUACAACUUUACCCGGAUGGUGUUGAGCAUGCUUAGGUUGCCUCGUUAAAAACCUUGAUAGGAAAAACCCAGUGGGAAAAAUCCUAAGCGAAGGAAAAAGAGUACAACAUGCAUGUAUCAUGGAUGCUCCCCCUGAAUUGUAUCUCCCCCUGAUUCCGCAUUUUUCAAAUCUGUAAGCCGACGUAAUCCGAUUCCCUGUACCAACUUCUGAAAUGUGCACUUUGGUAGAGAUUUGGUGAACAAGUCUGCUAAAUUUUCAUUGGAACGGAUUUGUCUGACUUCAAGAACUUUAGCCUUCUGAAGCUCAUGUGCGCUGAAAAAUCUUGGAGAUAUGUGUUUAGUCUUAUCACCUUUGAUAAAUCCUUCCUUCAUUUGGGCGACACAGGCUGCAUUAUCUUCAUGGAUGACAGUUGGAGUGUCUGUCUUUGAAGGUAGACCACAUGAAUUCCGGAUGUGAUGGAUCAUUGAUCUUAACCAAGAACAUUCACGACUUGCUUCAUGUAAAGCAAUUAUUUCCGAAUGAUUGGAAGAUGUUGCAACUAGCGUUUGCUUUGUUGAUCGCCAUGAAAUUGCAGUAUCUCCAUUAGUGAACACAUAUCCAUUUUGUGAGCGGGCUUUAUGCGGAUCGGAGAGAAAACCAGCAUCUGCGUAUCCAACAAGGAUUUGUUCAUUUGUGGGCUUGUCUGAGUAGAAGAGACCCAUAUCUGUUGUCCCACGAAGGUAUCGUAGAACAUCUUUGACUCCCUUCCAAUGACGAAUUGUUGGAGCAGAGCUGUACCUGGCUAACAAGUUAACUGAAAAAGCUAUAUCUGGUCUAGUACAUUGUGCUAAAUACAAUAAAGCACCUAUUGCGCUCAAAUAUGGUACUUUUGGACCAAGGACCAGUUCAUCAUCUUCUUUUGGACGAAAUGGAUCUUUCUUAAUGUCCAAAGAACGAACGACCAUUGGGGUGCUAAGUGGAUAAGCUUUGUCCAUGCCAAAUCGCUUCAGUAUUUUUUCAAUGUAAGCUGAUUGAUGGACCAAAAUUCCACUAACACAAUGCUCGAUCUGCAGGCCUAGACAAUAUUUGGUUUUCCCAAGGUCUUUCAUUUCAAAUUCGUUUUUCAGAUAUUCAGCAGUUUUGUUGAGCUCUUCGGGGGUUCCAACUAGGUUCAUAUCAUCGACAUAUACUGCCACUAUAGCAAAUCCAGUAUUUGAUUUCUUAAUGAACACACAAGGGCAGAUGACAUUGUUGGCAUAUCCUUCUUUAAUCAAAUACUCACUGAGACGAUUAUACCACAUUCGCCCAGAUUGUUUCAGCCCAUAUAGUGAUCGCCUUAAUUUGAUUGAGAACAUACCCCGUGGUUUGUUAGUUGCUUCAGGCAACUUAAGUCCUUCUGGGACUUUCAUAUAUAUGUCAGUAUCUAAUUCUCCAUAUAGAUACGCGGUGAUGACAUCCAUAAGUCGCAUGUCAAGUUUUUCUGAAAUCACCAAAACUUAUUAAGUAACGAAACGUAAUUGCAUCCAUUACAGGAGAGUAUGUCUCUUCAUAAUCAACUCCAGGUCUUUGUGAAAAACCUUGUGCAACGAGUCGUGCUUUAUAUCUUGCAAUCUCGUUUUUCUCGUUGCGUUUCCUUGUGAAUACCCAUUUAUAACCUACAGGGUUCACACCAGGCGGGGUUUGGACUACUGGUCCAAAAACACUUCGUCUUUCCAAGGAUUUUAAUUCUGCCUGGAUUGCAUCUUUCCACUUAGGCCAAUCUUGUCUCUGUUUGCAUUCAUCAACAGAGCGGGGCUCAAUAUCAUCACUUAAUAUGAUUUCAGUGGCUAUUGCAAAUGCAAACAUGUCAUCGAUGAUUAUUUCAUUUCGAUCCCACAAUUCAUUAGUACAUGCAUAAUUUAUGGAUAUUUCUUUACUUUCAUGUACUUCUGUCUCUUCAGGGACAUGUGUCUCAUCAAGGACAUUUUCUUUUUCUGGAAGUACAGAGUCACGAAUUGUGGAUUUAUCAUUCAAUUCCUUUUCUUGAAUGAUAUCAUUUGGGUUCAAUUGGGCCCUCAUCUUUCUCUUUCGAGGAGCUGAAUCUUUUGAACCUGGGGGUCUACCACGCUUCAGGCGUGCACUGGAUGAAUCAUUCGCUGCCACUUUAUUUUGUCCAACAGGGACAUCAAUUCUUGCAGGUGCGUUUGCAGCCGGUAUAUAUGACUGUGUCACUUUCGAAGCAUCAUUAAAUGCAUCUGGCAUUUGAUUAGCAAUACCUUGAAGAUGAACGAUUCUUUUCACUUCGUUUUCACAUUGAGUGCUUCUUGGAUCAAAAUGAGAUAAGGUGGGAACAACCCAUGUUAGCUCUUGUCGUUCUUCUGGAACGGUCUUUUCUCCCCCUAACGACGGGAAAAUUGUCUCAUCAAAAUGACAAUCAGCAAAACGAGCUGUAAGCACAUCACCAGUCAAAGGUUCCAAAUAUCUAAUGAUAGAUGGUGAAUCAAAACCCACAUAAAUUCCCAAUCUGCGCUGAGGUCCCAUUUUAGUUCGUUGUGGUGGUGCAAUAGGCACAUAAGCAGCACAACCAAAAACUCGUAAAUGUGAAAUAUUUGGCUGAUGUCCAAACACGAGUUGUAUUGAUGAGUAUUGGUGGUUGGCUAUGGGUCUCAAUCUAACCAAUGAUGCAGCAUGUAAUAUGGCAUGUCCCCAUGUAGAAACUGGCAAUUUCGUUUUCAUGAGCAGAGUGCGGGCUAUUAAUUGAAGCCGCUUGAUAAAUGCCUCUGCUAAACCAUUUUGAGUAUGGACAUGAGGAACAGGGUGUUCAACAUUAAUGCCCAGUGCCAUACAGUAAUCAUCAAAGGUUUGAGACGUAAAUUCACCAGCGUUAUCAAGUCGAAUGGACUUAAUGGGAUGAUCUGGGAACUGUGCUCGCAACUUAAUUAUCUGAGCAAGAAGUCUCGCAAAAGCUACAUUUCGAGUAGACAAUAGGCAAACAUGUGACCAUCGGGUAGAUGCAUCAACCAAAACCAUAAAAUAUCGAAAUGGUCCACAAGGUGGUUGAAUAGGUCCACAAAUAUCCCCUUGAAUUCUUUGCAAAAAUGAUGGGGAUUCAUCAUCAACCUUUAGUUGUGAUGGUCUAAUUACCAACUUCCCUUGGGAACAAGCCUUGCAAGGAUUAUCAUUCGGGACAUUAAUGUGUCUGCUCAGUAAUGGAUGUCCAUUUAGAGUUGGUAAUGAUUCUACGCAUCAUGGUGGAUCCUGGAUGACCUAGACGGUCAUGCCAAAGCAUGUAAACCUUUGAAUCAAUGAACUUAUGGUUCAUGACAGUAUAUGCCUCAACUGUCUUUAUGUAUGUACAAUACAAUCCACUCGAUAAACCAUGCAACUUCUCCAAUAUACGCUUCUGGGUAUCGUUGGAGGUAAUGCAUAAAUAUUCCACAUUUUCUACACUUUUCGUUUCAAGGUGGUAUCCAUUUAAAACGUAUGUCUUUAAAACUCAACAAAUUUCGAAUGGACCGAGUAGCAUAUAUGCAUUCUUUAUAGACAAUAUUGUUCCAUUUGGUAACAUAAUCUGGGCUUUUCCUGAGCCUUCAAUUACAUCUGAUGGUCCUGAUUGUUGUUACCUUUACUUUGCAAGUACCGAUUCAGAAUUACUUUCGUCUCGAAGUAUUGAAUGCUGGUUGGCUAUGACAGAAGUCUCCGCAUGAUCUUGUUUUAGAUAUAACAUAUUUUAUAUCCAGAUCGAGUAAAGAAAAGCAAUUUAUUCAUACUGGAUAUCUACUUUUAUUGAAAUGAACAUUAGAAAACCACAGUACAAAUAACAUGAGUACAUUAAACAUAAUAAUUCAUCGGACCCUUAAAUUCUUAUCCAUACUAAGUCAGUCUGUGCAUCCAGGUGGUGUUGUUUAACUGUCCUGAUAAUUGGGUUCACUGGGGGGUUUCAUUGGUUUAGCCGGUCAAGGAAAUUGCACCCGACUCCUUGAAGAGGAAAGUGAUAUAGUUCCACCAGAUGUUUGGGGCGCCGACAAGUACGCGCCAAAUGAGUGCCACCACACCUGGAUUAAACCUUGGAACCGUUGUGAAACUAGAGUGUUUCUUGCUUUCCUCUCCUGGCGAGUGUGGUUAUUUCUAUAAGGAGGGCCUGACUUUCUCUUGGAACCUGGUCGGGAAACUGACACCAUGGUUCAGUGCCAGGCCUUCCCGACCUUGCUUGUGGACCAGCGUUCUGUUUUUAUAUGCCCACGGGAGUAAAUAUCUGGUAUUUCUUUCAGGGAGCAAAAUUCACUCGGAACUGGAUGGCUGUCCACCAAAGGGCAAGAUUAUGGUUUUUCAUGAGAAGCUCAGUUUGUAGCCACAGAGAUGGCGAUUCAGCUGUGUAUUCAGUGAGCUCGCGUCUAUACUGUUGUAUGCAGUGACCAGUGAGGUGUUAGAUGUGCUUUUUUUGAUCCAAGGCAUUUCCUAUGAAACCAGGCUCAGAAUUACACAAUUAAUGAGAGGGGCAAUGUGAACCGCACAUUCUCAAUCGAAAUCAAGUCAUAGAUGGGUGAUUAUCCCGCACUACUUUAAAACAGCAGGAAAAAUUUAAGAUAAGCUGUGAGCUGUGGAAACUUGCAACGCACACUAAAAUUGCGAUAAAUUCUACAAAUAUCUUCAGCCAGGUGGACGAUUUAUACCGCCCACCAUAAGCCCGUCAUAGGUGCGGUGAUCUAUCCGCACUAACUUUAACAGCAGGAAUAUUUAAUAUGUAGAGCAAGGUGGACGGAUAUACCGAUAACGGUUAUAAAAUUGCGAUAACCUUUAAAAUGCAAAGCGGUGGACGUAUUAUACCGCACCUCACCUAAAUUGCACAAUUAAAAAUUGCACUAUUUAAAAGAGCUUAUUUCAAUGGCCUUUACAAAUUUUACAUAAGCUUAAAUAUGACAAUAUAGUAGCAUUAUACCGCACCACCUAAAUUGCAAUAAAAUUAAAUAGUCAAAGCAGGAUGGGUGAUUAUUUCACACCACCUAAAUUGCGAUAAAAUUAAUACGGGAAAAUUUAAUAUCAGAUUAAGCGGCGAACAAUACCGUCCCCACUUAAAAUUUUCGAAAGAAAUGAUAUGCAGUCAAGACAGAACGAUCAGAGACCGCACCAAUUUGGAUUGCAUAAUACUCAGUGAUUAGUAGUCAAUAUCUACACCACCAAGAAAUCAAAGUAUGUGCAGUUAGUUGGAGACCUAGAAGUAACAUGGUGCAACAGUUCUUCUUCGCGAGGGUUUGGCCAGCAUGAGGAGAGAAGAAGAAGACAGAAAAAAACGAGGAAACUUCUUUUGGUGAAAGGAAAUGGAGACAAAGAUAGAGAGUUGCUGAUAACGUGUUCACUGUAAAUAGAUAAAUUUAUUAGAGAGAAACUUUCCUGUGAAGAACGAAGCAGUUGAGAGUAUAUACGGACACAAUCUGUUGCAGAGAAGUAAUUUAUAUUAUGCUAUUAAUAUAUUUCUCUUUUCUUUCUUCUUCUCAUUCAUAAUCGUUGCACAAUUUGAAUUGCUUAUUAUAGAGUACUUCAAUGAAAAUUACAAAACAUUACUAUUUAGCUUUGAGUAUAUAGUACACAUGUGAUACUUUACUAUACACAUUACUAUACACAUGUGGGCAAACAUACCCAUCAUUUACAACACUUUUGUGAUUGUUGGUCUCUCACUCAUCUUUUACUUUUCUGGCGGAGAUCCUUAUAUAAAAUACUAUAUUUUAUUCCGCAAGAAUCGCAUGGUUAUAAAGAAAUUGAGGAGAAUGCAGGCAAUUUCGUCCUUUACAUUUUUUAUGUUUUUUUUUUUUUGGUCUAAUCUCUGAUGAUUUUUCUCAGUCGUCGUUCGUAUGUUUAUUUUAUUGAAAUAAGCCUUACAGAAAAUGCUUUUACUAAAAGAAAAAAAAGAAUAAAUAUUUACAAAUUCUUCAGUUAAACAGUGAGGACUCAAUUUGCUUUAACUUUAUGAGAUAGGAGUCUUGGGUAGGUAAUUUUUGUGAUUGCAGAUUUUAUGUUGAUUACUACGUGGUAUUCAUAUACAUUCUUCGUACACCCGGUUUCGGCAGCCUGACGGAGUACUGACUAUUUUCUCAGAUAGGCUGUCAUCGGAUAGUAACUGCCUAAAUUAGCUGCGCGUUUGAUGAAUCGGUUAAUGACCGUAUUUCACAAUACUGUGUUUGAUUAUUAUCGUGAUUUUUAUUUAUCAAGUUUUAAUUUCUGAGUAAAUUAAAACUCACUCCUGAUCCUUAUUCCCUCCAAAUCUGAUCCUGGUUUUAACCUGGAUACCAUAAUAUUUCUUGAGCUGAAGGUGGAAAAUUCAGCAAAGAUUUGGUGGGGGGGUUUCCCCCUGGAAAAAACACAAUUAAUUUAACAGAACACUCUGCAGAGCUAUCUGCUGAAUACCUGCCAGUUAAUGAUUUGUAUGCUUUCGAAUUGCUUUCUAGUUCGUCAUAAUAGAAUAGAAUGAAUUUGUCGAGGUUUUUUUUUGGUUCGUUAUUCUUCAAUAUUAAAGUAAAGGAUAUGAUUUGUAUUAUUUUAAAUUCAAGAAAGGCAGCUGUGCCAAACGAGGCCUUCUCUCUUGCCGUGUCUGAUGCAGAAGAUUUUUUACUCGAGCCGGCUAUAAUUUGGAGGGCAGGUUGGUUUAAUCAGUUCCAAAUUUGGUGAAUCGUUUGAUAUUUUUAGUUUUUCUGUCCUAAUUGACAAGUGUUGAUAUCUUCUAAAAUAACCGAAGAGUUGUAAGGAUACUUUCACUUUUUGCAUUGACUUGUGGGGCGAUGAUUUUAGGCUAACAGGGCUUAGUUUGAAUCCUGGAUGUGCUUUCCAGUUCCCCCCCCCAAUCUGUGGAUUUGUUUUCUUUAAAAUAUUAAACCCCUUGACAUCGCAUAUACCAGCUGAGACCGUCGUCGUCGUCGUCACCGUAUGAACAAAUCUAUGAUCAGAAAUCAGAGAUGAGAGCCCAAGACCGUCGCCCUCAGUCUCAGAAAUUUGAGCCAAAAUCUCGCGAGAUUCAAGCUGCACGCGAGCGGAUCCAAAGCCCGAACCUCCGAUCUUGCUGAAAAACCGUGAAUUUGGUCCCAAUUCGAAGGAAAUUUUAAGCCCAGAAAAGCCUUGGUUUCACAGUAAAACCCAGAAACUUGAGGUACGAAAAUUUCAUAUUUUUUGAUGUUUUUUAUUUAUUUUCAGUGUUAAUUUCUGAUUAAAUUAUUAUUUUUGAUAAACCCAUCCAGAAUCUGAUCUGGGUUUUACCUGGAUUCCAAGUAAUAUUUUUGAAACUUGAAGGUGGAAAAUUUUCAAUUUAUUUUUAUUUUUAUUUAUUUUCAGUGUUACUCUCUGAUUAAUAUUAUUCUGGGUUUUGCAGAAAUGCUAUUCUUGCUGAAUACCUGCCAUGUAAGUGAUUUAAUUUUUGCUUUUCGAAUUGCUACUACUUUCGUGCAUAAUUAUGAAUAUGUAGAUGAUUUGGGGGUUUUUUUUUUGGUACUUUAUCUUCAAUUUAAAGUAAAGGAUAUUGAAUUUUGUUAUCAUUUUUAAAUUCAAGAAAGGCAGUCUGUGCUUCCUCUUCCGUUCUGAUUUGCAGAAGAUUUCUCGAGCGGCUAUAAUUUCAUGGCAGGUUGGUUUAAAUCAGUUCCAAAAUUUGGGAUCGUUUGGGAUAUUUUUAGGUUUUUCUGUCCCUCACAAAUCUUGGCUCUCUAAAAAAACCGAAGCAGUUUAAGAUUCUUCAGCUUUUUAAUUUGGAUUGAAGAUGAUUUUAGGCUAACAGGCUAAUGUUUUGAAUCCUGGAUCUGGGAGUUCCCCCCCCCCAAGCUGUGGGAUUUGUUUUCUUCAAUUUUAAAAUAUUACAAUUGAAUUCUUUGUUUGGGUAAAAGUUCUGUAUGGGUUCUGAUGAGGCACUGAAUUGGGUUUGAGAGUUUUGAUUUUACGGGAGAGGUAGGGAUUUGUGUUUAAACUUUUGAAGUACUUUUUUUGCAGAUAUUACGGGAGAGGUUGGACAUAAUCAUUACUUCCUAUUACAAUUAUUAAAGUUAAUUCAAUUAACUAAAGUUGGUUUGAAUGUGAUGAUGUGAUGGCAACUACUAACAACAAAACAACAAUCUCCUUAGAUUAAGGAGAAAGAACCAAAAGGUGAGGAAGAAAAGAAAGGAAAGGAGGAAAGAGAGCUCUGCACAUGCAAAUGUCAGAGAGCUCUCGGUGUACAUGUAAAGCAAAAGUAUACAAUAAUUCCAAUAAUAUUUUUCUUCUAACACUGUUAAGCAUGUAGUUUUCAGUGAUCUCUGGACAAUCCCUAUAUAUGCAUUGUAUUUGCAUAUUAGUUUCACUUAGUUUUAGUGAUCUUUGCGAGAACUUUUUUUAUUUUUAUUUAUUUUCAGUGUUUCUCUCUGAUUAAUAUUAUUUUGAGUUUUGCAGAAAUGCUGUUCUUGCUGAGUACCUGCCAUGUAAGUGAUUUAAUUUUUGCUUUUCGAAUUUCUUCUUUUCAUGCAUAAUUAUGAAUAUGUAGAUGAUUUGUGGGUAAUUUUUUUUUUACUUAAUCUCCAAUUCAAAGUGAAGGAUAUUGAAUUUUGUUAUCAUUUUUAUUCAGGAAAGGCAGUCUGUGCUGCCUUUUCUGUUCUGAUUUGAAGAAGAUUUCUCAAGCGGCUAUAAUUUCAUCGCAGGUUGGUUUAAAUCAGUUCCAAAAUUUGGGAUCGUUCGGGAUACUUUUAGGUUUUUCUGCCCCUCACAAAUCUUGGCUCGCUAAAAAACCAAACCAGUUUAAGCUUCUUCAGUUUUUUGAUUUGGAUUGAAGAUGAUUUUUAGCCAAAAAGGCUAACGUUUUGUGGUAAGUUCUUUGAAUCCUGCAUCUGCGAGGUUUUUUUUUUUUUUUUUUUUUUUCCAAAGCUGUGGGAUUUGUUUUCUUCAAGUUUAAAAUAUUACAAUUGAAUUCUUUGUUUGGGUAAAAAUUUAAUUAGAUUCUGUAUGGGGGUUCUGAUGAGGCACUGAAUUGGGUUUGAGGGUUUUGAUAUUAUGAGAGAGGUAGGGAGUAUACAGGGAGAGAGGGGGGGUAGGUGAUUUGCAGAAAUGGAGGGUGAAAGAAAAAAGGGGAGAGAAGGGGUAGUACAUUAUAUUUUGAUUUUAUAAUUUUGGGGGUUUUGUGUUUAAACUUUUUUCGCAGAUAUAGCCCACAAAUGUUGACCCAAAGGUUGGACAUAAUCAUUACUUCCUCAUCUUCUGUUUAAACUUUUUUCGCAGAUAUAGCCUGUCGAACAUUAAUUGAAACUCUAUUGAAACAAUCAUCUGUUUGCAACAAUCAUCUCGUUGGCUUCGAUGGCUAAAGAAGCAGCAGCAGCAGCUGCCUCAUCUUCUUCUCCUCCACCAUGGAAAUACCAUGUAUUCUUGAGUUUCAGAGGCGAGGACACGCGCUACAAUUUCACAGGCCAUUUGUGUAGAGCUUUGCGUCAAAAAGGAAUUAACACCUUCAUGGAUGAUUACCUUUCAAGAGGAGAAGAAAUAUCACCAGCGCUCCUCAAAGCGAUUGAAGAGUCGAGGAUUUCUGUCAUUGUAUUCUCCGAAAAAUAUGCUUCCUCAAGGUGGUGCUUGGACGAACUUGUUAAGAUCAUUGACUGCAAGAAAUCAAAUCAGCAAAUGGUGAUACCGGUAUUUUACAAGGUGAGUCCCUCGGAUGUUUGAAAUCAGAAGGGUUGUUUUGGUGAUGGACUUGCUGGCCUUGAGUGCAAUUAUAAGGAUAACGUUGACAAGAUCCACAAAUGGAGGCCAGCUCUUUCAGAAGCAGGAAAUUUGUCUGGGUGGACUCUCUUGGAUAAGUAUACAUUAUUACUUUAACACAUCCUUCUGCUUUCGCUUGUUUCAAUUUCUCUACUCUUUUGGUAUAUAUAGAUUUAAAUUUUUUGAGAUAGGAUCAAGAAUCAAAAGACCCAACAUGUCAUCGAUUUGUGGCCUUGUCAUCCAUUUGUGCAUAUUUGGAGUCCAAAUUUAGUGUACAAAUUAGUGUCUCUAGCAUCCUUUGUCCAAUCUUCCCAAACUAUAAAAAAAAUAUUGGUUUGUAAAUAUAAAUAGAAGGAAAUUCUGUUCUACUUUUGUGUGUGUUUUCUUCCCUCUUUUAAAAAAACAUGGGAAAAUGUCAUUUAUAAGAUGUUCCGUGUGAUUUUAUGCUUGCAGGCAUAAAGAUGAAUCGGAACUUAUUCAUAACAUUGUUGAAGGUAUUUCCGUGCAAGUAUUAAACCGUACAUAUUUGGAUGUGGCCGAAUACCCAGUUGGAAUGGAGUCUCGUGCAGAAGAAAUAAAUAACCUCUUACAUGUCGGGGGAAAUGAUGUCCGUAUGGUAGGUUUAUGGGGGAUUGGUGGAAUUGGUAAAUCAACAAUUGCCAAAGCUGUUUAUAAUUUAAUUUCCCACAACUUCGAAGGCAGUUGCUUUCUCAGUAGCGUUGGAGAAAGUUCAAUGACGGAUAAAGGAUUGGCCAAAUUACAAAAGACACUUCUUUAUGAGAUUCUACUGGGAGACAAGUUGAAGGUGGCCAAUGUUGAUAAAGGAAUCACUUUAAUUAAGGAAAGAUUAAGCAGUAAAAGGAUUCUCUUAGUUCUUGAUGAUGUGAACGACAUGAAACAGUUACACUGCUUAGCUGGGGGAUCAGAUGGUUGGUUUGGCGUGGGUAGUAGAAUUAUCAUAACUACGAGGGAUAAGAAACUGUUAACUGCUCAGCAUCAUAAUAUUUUGAUAUACGAGGUGAAGGAAUUGAACGAUCAUGAAUCUCUCGAGCUCUUCAGUUGGAAUGCCUUCAAAAGCAAAGGACCUUUGGAUGGUUAUGCGGAACUUGCAGACCAUGCAAUACGGUGUGCUCAAGGCCUUCCAUUAGUUUUGAGAGUUUUAGGUUCACAUUUGUACUGUGAAAGUAUAGAUAUGUGGCAAGCUAUAUUAGAUGGUCUGAUCAAAAGUCGAGAAAUUCAAGACGUUUUCAAGAUAAGUUAUGAUGCAUUGGAUGAAAUAGUGAAGGAAGUUUUUCUCGACAUUGCGUGCUUCUUUAAUGGGGAAAAAAGUAACUAUGUGAUCGAAAUAUUAGAAGGUUGUGGGCUAAACCCUAAGCAUAGCAUUGACGUACUCAUACAGAAGGCCCUCGUAAAUAUAUAUUAUGGUAUUAUACGGAUGCACAAUUUGGUAGAAGAAGUGGGUAAAGAAGUAGUUCGCCAACAAUCACCCAAUGAUCCUGGAGAGCGCAGCAGGUUGUGGUUUCAUGACGAUGUUUAUCGUGUUCUGACGGAGAAUACAGUAAGUCCAUUUGACAACAUUUUAUUUGUUAAUGAGACAUGCAUUUUGUUUUAUAUGGAACUUGCAUUGUUAAUACUUUUGAAUUUUCAUACUAGGGAACGAAAAACAUUAUAGGCAUAAAGGUGCAGCUGCUUGAAUCGGAUAACGAGAUAUGCUUAAGUCCUGCAACCUUCUCCAACAUGAAAAAUCUUAAAAUUUUCAUAAACCGUAAUGGACGGUUUUCUGGAGCCGUUGAUUACCUCCCCAACAACUUAAGGUUCGUUGAUUGGCCUGAAUGUCCGUUGAAAUCUUUGCCGCUCAAUUUAAUUCCGAAGAAUCUUGUUCUACUCAACAUGAGGAACAGCCGUAUCACAGGAUUCGGGGAGGGAUUUAAGGUACAUACGUUGAUCUCUUUUCUUUCUGUUUUAUUUAAGAGUAAGGAGUCUUUCUUUUUUCUGUGUCCCCUUUGAAAUGUUUUCAUCCCUUCCUCUCUUUUUUUCUUCACAGAUCCUGACGAAGCUGACUUCUAUAGAUUUAUCUGACUGUGAAUACUUAACCAGAAUCUCCGACUUAUCCGGAGUUCCAAACUUAGUGAGGUUGAAUCUAGAAUGUUGCGGAAAUUUAACCGAGGUUGAUUCAUCAGUUGGAUUUCUUAAUAAACUUGAAUUCCUGGGACUUAAUUUCUGCGAUAAGCUUACAGUGUUUCCAACAACAAUAAGCUUGAAAUCUCUGGAGUAUUUUAAUCUUUACGGUUGUGAAAAGUUUGAGAUAUUCCCGGAAAUUGUGGGCAAAAUGGAAAGCCUAAGUGAUUUGACAAUUGUUAGAACUGCUAUAAAAGAAUUGCCUCCAUCAAUUGAAAAUGUCACCGGGCUUUUACGCUUAUCGUUAGAUGAAUGUGAAAACCUUGCAAAUCUGCCGCAAAGCAUUUAUGCGCUGCCCCGUCUUGAACAUCUUGGUCUCAGUGGCUGCCCAAAGCUUGUUACACUCCCUCCGGAGCUUCCAACUAACUCAAACACUUCACUUGACAACUUUGGGUCAGUAGCACUUCCCAAUCUAGAGAGAGUAUAUUUUGAUGAAUGCAGUUUAUCGGACAUUGAUACCCUUGCAAAUUUCGGUUGCUUAUCUAAAUUACAAAGAAUUAGUCUAUGUAAUAGCAAUUUUGAGAGUCUUCCUGCAUGCAUUAGCAAAUUUGUGCGGUUGGAGACACUUGAUUUGUCUGGUUGCAAGAGACUUCGAGAAAUUUUAAAACUUCCACCAAAUAUAAGAUGGAUUAACGUUGGUGAUUGCAUAUUGCUGGAAAUAUUUCCAACAUUGUCAGAGAUGAUACGGGUAGACGGAGACACGAGACUCAUUCGUUGGAUGAACUUGUCUAAUUGCCAAAGGCUAUGCGAAAAUUUGGCUUUGGAUGUCUCCAAGAUGGCAAGCGUAUUACUGCAUCAGGCACUGUUCUCUCUCUCUCUUUUCCAUUUUUCCACUCUUCCAGUAUGAACGACUAAUUAACAUUCAUUAUAUGAAUCUUACAGGCGUGGAAGUGCUAUGAAGUGCCAAGUAUUAUACUUCCAGGCAGUGAAGUUCCAAAUUGGUUCAGUUGCCGUAAGGACGUACGUGUGGGGGUUGAUGGCUCUACAACUGAUCCUGGUUGUAUAUGUGAAAUAUUUAUUGAAAUCCCUCGGACUUUCAAAUGGAAAAACACAAUACUUGUUAUCUGUGCUGCUUUCACAAACACGCAAAAUGCAUAUUGCGAUUUUACGAUAGAGACUGCAGUCAAUGGAGUACGUAUAUAUGAGAGUGAUGUUUUAAUACAAUUAAUAUCAAAAAAGACAGAUGCAGCUCGUGUGUGGCUAACAUAUAUUCCAUUACCGGCUCACAUAAAGUCGAAGGUGGAUGAGGGUGGUGAUCAAUCAAAGCCGUAUCUGUGUCGAGUUCGUGUUUGCUGCGGAUCAUCAGAUGCGCCCCUCUUAAAAGGCUGCGGUGUCCAGGUGGGACUUCACAUUCUUCAACGCGUCCAAGAAGGCUUAAAUGGCUGCGGUGUCCACUUGGGAAAUUUCAGUAUGCCCGAGGAUGGUGGUGAAGAUGACGAUGAUGUAGGAGGUGAAGUUCGACCAAGAAAAAAGAAAAGGAUGCUGGCGAUCAAGGGUUGAAUGUGAGUUGCAACAUUUUCAAAUCUCUAGUCAUGUUUUUGUGAUGGUCAUUCUUGUUUUGAAAGUGUUUCUUCUGCUAACUCAACAAGUGUGGGGUUUUAUACAAAGUGCAAAUAGUGAAACCAUGAAAUAUAAACUGUAUUCAUUUCGGUCAGGUUUCCGACGUGGGACUUCACAUUCUUCAACGCGUCCAAGAAGGCCAUUGAUAUACGAUUCCUCUCAUCUCUCUCGUGUUUAAGGCAAGGAUUUGGCUCCAUUUUAACGCUCUCUCCUGUUUUUCUUCUGUUAGUUUUCAAUUCUUAGAAUUCUUUGUGAUUUUCGUUUAUGGAAAACUAAUCUCCAUAGCUACGGCUAGGAGAGAAACCUACACUGUAACUAUGUACUUCUAUUAUUUUGAUUUUAUUUUGGAUUUUCAGGUUGGAAUUUCUUAUUUAAUCUAUUUUUGGAAUGAUGAAUAUUAGUUAUGAUCCAUAGGAUCAACCCUUUUUUUCUUGGUAUAGUUCCGUUUCAACAUUCAUGCUUUCAAUGAACUGUAUAUAUUGAUUGAUUGGUAUGCUUUUGAUGACGUAGUUUUUUUUUAUAUUUUGUCGUUGUAGGCAUAAAUCGAACAUCCAAAAUGGAGAUUUAAUCACCAAAAGCUUUCAUAUUGAGAAAACUUAAUUGUCAUAGCUUCUGAUUGAGGGCGCACGUUGUUUGUUUAUCAGUUAAAGUUAUAAAAAUGAAUUGAAAUAGUGGAAUUGCAUAAUUGUAUAUAGGCAGAACCCCAAUGCUUUAAUGCUAUUUGGAGCAUAUGGUAUCUACAAAACAAGAUCCUGUUAUACCGCCUUCAGUUAAUGGAAUAGAAUUCCAUCUUGCUAAGCAUUUAAAAUGCCACAGAAAUGUUUCCACAGGAUGAGUCAACCGAAAUAUUUCCGCAGAUUUCCAUCUUGCUGGUUGUGCUAUAUAUAUGUUGGACAAUUUGAGCAUUACCCUGCUAAUCCAAUAUGGCUUUUCAGACGCAAACGCCUCAAAGUUUGUUACAUUUCCAGAUCAGGCAUCAAUCCUAUCUGGAUAAUUUCUUUAACAAGCCUCAAAGCUUCACCGAUUCUGUUGACCAAGGUUUUAUGGGAAGCAAUAUCAGGCGCAUAACCCAUAAUCACCAUUAAGUUCAAGACCACCUUCGCCUUUUCCAUUCUGCCCUGCAAACAAUAUUCACUAACCAGCAUACUGCAAGUUAUUGUGCUGAGUUUCAUACCGUAUUCAAUUGUUGCCUCAAAUAUUUUGUUAGUCUCUUCUGUCAUCCCAGCAUCCAAUAGUAUUACCAAAGUAACGGUAUCAGGCAAGAGUCCCCGGCCUAUCAUAUCAUCAAACAACCUUGUGGCCUCUUCCCAUUGAGCUGUACGGCACAUGCCAUUGGUUAAACUGUUGUAAGUGAUAACAUUUAGGGCAAUACCUUCAUCCAGCAUUCUAUUAAACACCCUUGUAGCUUCUCUCCAGUGGCUGGUCCAGCACAAUCCAUUAAUUAAGGAGCUGUAAGUCACAACAUCAGGCCUUUCCUCUCUACGGAUCAUUUCUUCCACAAGAUUCAGUGCCUCUGCUGUCUUCCCUUCCUUGCAUAAAGCAUCCAGUACAGAAUUAUAUGUAACAAUAUUAGGCAAGGCUCCAUAACCAAUCAUGGUUUUAAAUAAACUCACACCUUCCUCCCAGUUACCAGACUUGCAUGAAGCAGAAAUCAAGCAAUUAAAAGUGACAAGAUCAGGUUUUAUGCCUCUCAUUGUCAUCUUUUCAAACAGAGUAAGCGCUUCUUGAAUUCUUUCUUCCUUGCAAAUACCGCUGAUAAGAACAGUAUAUGUGUAUACACUGGGUGAAAUUCCACUGUCAAGCAUACAAAUCAAGAAGCUCUUGGCUUUUUCCAACCUCCCCGAUUGGCACAAUGCAUAAAUUAGAGCGGAGUAGGUGAGAACAUCUGGCCUGACUCCUUGAUCUUCCAUUGCUUCAAAAAGAGAGAACACUUCUUCCCAGCAAUUCAUGUUGCAUAACCCAUGAAUCAAAGUGUUAUAAGUGAUAAUACCCGGUACAACACUUUUGUAGAUCAUAUCUCUAAAUAGGGUCAAGGCCUCAUCUAUUCGUCUUUCUUUACAGAGGCUAUCUAUGAUGGGAUUGUAGCAGUCUUGUUUGGGCUUGAACCUUCCAUCUUCCAACAUAUUCGUAAGUAUCUCGAGUGCCUUAGAAGUUUUCCCAGCCUUGCAUAGCCGAUUGAUCAUGGUCGCAUAAGUGAUUUCAUCGCACGUGUAUCCCUUCUCUUCGAUUUCCUGGAAGAACUCCAAUGCCUCGGCCCGAGACUAUCUUGCAAAGUCCAUGGAGCAAAGUAUUUAUAGAAUGAGCGUUGGGUUGAAGACCGUAUUUAAGGGUGAUUGCUAAAACAGAGAAACCCAAGUCCAUCCGGUUCAGACGGCACACGCAAUUCAGAAAAAUAGUCAUCGUACUGACAUCAGGUCGGAAUUGAGCGCAACCCAUCAACUGUUUACGCAUAGAAACCACAGCAGAAUAUUCCUUCAUCUUGGAGAGUGCCCCAAACAAACAAUUGAAAGUCCAAAUAGAGGGCAAGGGUUUGGUUUGAAUCAUGGAAUCGAAGUACCCCAAUGCUUCAUCUUUCCUAAUUUUUCCAGAUUUGCAUCGAGUUUGAAUCAAAUUGUCCGAUUCCGAAUGGGUUUGUUUAAAUCUAUCUGUACUAGUAGCAUUACCAGCAGCGGAAUGAAAUCCAUCUUUUUUGUGCAGAAAGGUAAAAAUGAAUGAAGGAGUACCUGUUGAGUUAGGAAGUCUCGUGGUUAUCACCUUUAUCUUCAUCUUCCACAGAUUCAGCCCAGUUCAUGAAAUCCCAUGAAUUUCAAUCCUUCUCUAGAAUCAAGCUGCAAUUGAAAAGAAGCUGUCUUCAAUUGGUUCUUGUUUCAAACCCUAAUUCUGUAUUCCGAAAAACACUACCCUUAUGCUCAUUACAUAAAAUAUGCGACAUGUAUUUACAGUGUUAUAAUCUAUAUAUCUAUAUAAGACUAAAGAGGUGAAGUUUCUAAAAAGUUCUUAAAUACCGCUUUAUUUUUUCAAAUUUUUUAAGGACUACAACUUGUGUAAUUAAAAAGAAAAAAACCUGAAACUUUCAUAAUACCUAAAUUGCCUUUCUAUUAUUAAGAGCUUCCAAACAAAUAAAGGAUGAAAAAAAACGCAGUGGGAUUGUGAUUGGUUUGUAAGUUCAUUAUUUUACAGAAUAUAUUUUAUAACACCAAGUUACUGUGCAUUUAGGUCAUCUAUAACCGAAGGAGUAGCCCUCUGACUCUUCAAGAAAUUAAUAUUUUAAUAAACAGUGCAAGGUCAUAUUGUUUACCAUCUCCAACCGAGGGCCAAACAUAGUCAUGUGAUAAAAAAUCAUCUCCAACCAAGGGACAAAGUGUCAUAAGGCCAAACAUAAUUUAUUAUUUAAAUUUAAAAAUUACAACAACUUCAAUUUAAAAACUACAUCUUAUAUUUAAAAACUACAACUUAAACUUAAAUUUACUGUAAUUUCAUGUUACUUAAUGUUAUUUAAGAAGUUAUUUCCAGAAACUGGUGAACUAUACCGAAGUAAACUUGACGACCCCGACUUCACAUUCUUCAACGCGUCCAAGAAGGCCAUUGAUAUACGAUUCCUCUCAUCUCUCUCUUGUGUUUAAGCAAGGAUUUGGCUCCAUUUUAGCGCUCUCUCCUGUUUUUCUUCUGUUAGUUUUCAAUUCUUAGGAUUCUUUGUGAUUUUCGUUUACGGAAACCUAAUCUCCAUAGCUAGGCUAGGAGAGAAACCUACACUAUAACUAUGUACUUUUAUUAUUUUGAUUUUAUUUUGGAUUUUCAAUGUCAAAUUUAUAUUGUGGAAUUUCUUGUUUAAUCUAUUUUUGGAAUGAUGAAUAUUAGUUAGAGUAAAUUGUAGUUAUGGUCCUUUAACUUUAACUCAAUUGGAGCAAUGAUCCCUUAACUAAAAAUUCAUUACCAUUGGUCCAUCAACUCAUCAAAACGUGCAGCUAUGAUCCCUCAACUAAAAAUUCAUUACCAUUGGUCCCUCAACUUUAAUUCAACUGGAGAAAUGGUCAUUUAACUUUAACCUAAUUGUAGCAAUGGUCCUUCCAACAUAACUCGUUUUAACAAAAUUUUUGACGUAGUUGACAAAAAUGACCAUAAUUACACACUUUGAUGAGUUGAGGGACUCUAAUUGUAUAAAUCGUCAUUCCAACAUAACUUAUUUGACAAAAUUUUGACAAAAUCGAUGAAAAUGACUAUAGCUACACAUUUUGAUAAGUUGAGGGACCAAUGGUAAUGGAUUUUUAGUUGAAGAACCAUUGCUCCAAUUUGAUUAAAGUAGAGGGACUAUUGCUACAAUUUAUUCUAUUAGUUAUGAUCCAUAAGAUCAACCAUUUUAUUUUUUAUUUUUUUGUGUUCUUGUUUUGCUUCAACAUUCAUGCUUUUAGUGAACUAUAUAAAUUGAUUGAUUGGUAGGAUUUUGGAUGUUCGAUUUAAACACCAAAAGGUUUUAUACGAGAAAACUUAAAUGUCAUAUCUUCUGAUUGAGAGCGCACCUUGUUUGAUUAUCAAUUAAGUUAUAAAAAUGAAUCGAAAUAGUGGAAUUGCAUAAUUGUAUAUAGGUGGAACCCCAAUGCUUUAAUGCUACUUGGAGCAUAUGGUAUCUACAAAACAAGAUCCUGUUAUACCAUCUUCAGUUGAUGGAAUAGAAUUCCAUCUUGCUAAGCAUUUAAAAGGCCACAGAAAUGUUUCCACAGGAAGAGUCAACCGAAUGUUUGAAGAUUGUAUAAAACAUCAUAUAGCUGGUUGUGUUUAAGGUACAUCAACAAUGCCAACAAUUAGGAUACAACUAUAUAUAUGUUGGACAAUUUGAGCAUUACCCUGCUAAUCCAACAUGGCUUUUACGACGAAAACGCCCCAAAGUUCGUUGCAUUUCCAGAUCAGGCAUCAAUCCUAUUUGGAUCAUUUCUUUAACAAGCCUCAAAGCUUCACCGAUUCUGUUAACGUUUAUAUAGCCGUUGACCAAGGUUUUAUAGGAAGCAAUAUCAGGCGCAUAACCCAUAAUCACCAUUAAGUUCAACACCACCUUCGCCUUAUCCAUUCUGCCCUGCAAACAAUGUUCACUAACCAGCACACUGCAAGUUAAUGUGCUGAGUUUCAUACCGUAUUCAAUUGUUGCCUCAAAUAUUUUGUGAGUCUCUUCUGUCAUCCCAUCUUUGCAGAUAGCAUCCAAAAGUAUUACCAAAGUAACGGUAUCAGGCAAGAGUCCCCGGCUUACCAUAUCAUCAAACAACCUUGUGGCUUCUUCCCAUUGAGCUGUACGGCACAUGCCAGUGAUUAAACUGUUGUAAGUGAUAACAUCUGGGGCAACACCUUCAUCCAACAUUCUAUUAAACACCCUUGUAGCUUCUUCCCAUUGAGCUGUACGGCACAAUCCAUUAAUUAAGGUGUUGUACGUCACAACAUCAGGCUUUUCCCCUUUUAUGGAUCAUUUCUUCCACAAGAUUCAGUGCCUCUGCUGUCUUCCCUUCCUUGCGUAAAGCAUCCAGUACAGAAUUGUAUGUAACAAUAUCAGGCAAGACUCCAUAACCAAUCAUGGUUUUAAAUAAUCUCACACCUUCCUCCCAGUUACCAGACUUGCAUGAUGCGGAAAUCAUGCUAUUAAAAGUGACAACAUUAGGCUUUAGGCCAUUCGUUGUCAUCUUUUCAAACAGAGUAAGCGCUUCUUGAAUUCUUUCCUCCUUGCAAAGACAGCUGAUAAGAACACUAUAUGUGUAUACAUCGGGUGAAAUUCCACUGUUAAGCGUGCAAAUCAAGAAGCUCUUGGCUUUUUCAAACCUCCCCGAUUGGUAUAAGGCAUAAAUUAGAGUGUUAUAGGUGACAACAUCUGGCCUGACUCCAUGAUCCACCAUUUCGUCAAACAGAGAGAGCACUUCUUCCCAGCGACUCAUGUUGCAUAACCCAUGAAUCAAGGUGGUAUAAGUGAUAAUACCCGGUACAACACUUUUGUAGAUCAUAUCUCUAAAUAGGGUCAAGGCCUCAUCUAUUUGUCUUUCCUUACACA